CACGGAGGUACUACACGGCGUGGCUGGAGCUGGAGUUUGGCGUGUUCGAGAAACAAAGCGUAGAGCUGAGACGUGAAGCUGAAGAGGAUCUCUGAUGAUUGCCUGGAGGACAGACGAAGUGAUGCCAGUUUGCACAUUCUUAAAAUCCUUGUUGUCCGUGCUGUUGAAGGGGAGGAACCAGUUGGUGUAUCCA